ensembl:lncRNA
CAUACAAUUUAAUUCUAAGAGCUUUCAAGAAAUGGGUUGUGUUUGCUUUGCAAGUCAUAUCAUGAGAGACUGCUAAAAAUAUCAUGCUUGAAUAACAGGAGAGUAGUUGAUGUUUUCUGAAUUGAACUUUUUAGAUGAACUACUACCGUGGCAUCAGUCACCACAAUUGCAUUUCAGGAAAAUAACCAGUUGUCCUAUAAAGCUUUGCUAAGAACUUAUCCAGGGCUGCCUUUUCUCUCUCGAUUUCCCUGAGCCAGAUAUUUAAAAUCUUCUGAAGUUUUUCAACAUAAAGCUUGUUUCUCCUCUCCUCUACCAAGUUGGUCAUGACAGCCCUCCACAUGUUCAUGGGGUCUCCAACUUUCAAAGUGUUCCCCUUCAGUAUGCGGCCCUUGCCACUCAUCUUCAAACUACGUCUGAGGGAGUCUCCAACUUUUGAAGUCUUCCCCUUCGCUGUGCGGCACUUGUUACUCUUUUUCAAACUUGUCAGAGGAGGUUCCAGACAGGACUGAGAGUCAUCUUUAUUGCUGUACAGUGACUCUUCAGGGGUAAGGAAUUCUAAAACCACAGCCCCAAGGGAACAGAGCAUCUCAGAAUGUUGAGGCUGAGUGAUGUCACAGAUCCUCCUAGCUCAAACCAGCUAUGACCAGAAAAAGGUGUUAAGCUUGAAGAUUAAACCAUUCUUCAGUGAUGAAGUGAACUGAUAGAGCAGGUUGGCUCUCAGAUGCCUACUACCAUCUUAUGCUUCUACCCAGGUUGAAUGGAAACAGGAGUAAAAAGGAAGAAGAGUGAGAGAGAAGGAAGAAAAGCCAAUGUGAGAUGCAUGAAUGAAGUCUGCACUCCAACUUUCCAGGAAGGAGCAGUGUGCUUCUCAGACUUCUCAGGACUAGGAACUCCUCAGCUCUUCCAGGCUGUGGACAGAGAAGCAUCUGAACUGACCCCACCAAGGCAGCUGGUACAAGUCCAGGGAGCACCCUGUCAGCAUGAGGGAGCCAUAUUGUCCACUACAAGGACAGCUGAGCGGACACAACAUGAAUAGCUGGAGACUCCUCUGGCCCAUUUGACCACACUCUGUGUAUUCAAAAUGAGUCAAUAUUUUGGGUUGAAGCCAUUCUGUUCAAUCAAAAUAUAAUGGUGCUGUGUUA